rnacentral:rRNA from 1 species
GAUGAACGCUGGCGGUAUGCCUAACACAUGCAAGUCGAACGGAAUCUUCGGAUUUAGUGGCGGACGGGUGAGUAACGCGUGAGAAUCUGCCUUCAGGAUGGGGACAACAAUUGGAAACGAUUGCUAAUACCCGAUAUGACGAAAGUUGAAAGAUUUAUCGCCUGGGGAUGAGUUCGCGUCAGAUUAGCUAGAUGGUGUGGUAAAGGCGCACCAUGGCGACGAUCUGUAGCUGGUCUGAGAGGUUGAGCAGCCACACUGGGACUGAGACACGGCCCAGACUCCUACGGGAGGCAGCAGUGGGGAAUUUUCCGCAAUGGGCGCAAGCCUGACGGAGCAAUACCGCGUGAGGGAGGAAGGCUCUUGGGUCGUAAACCCCUUUUCUCAGGGAAGAACAAAAUGACGGUACCUGAGGAAUCAGCAUCGGCUAACUCCGUGCCAGCAGCCGCGGUAAUACGGAGGAUGCAAGCGUUAUCCGGAAUGAUUGGGCGUAAAGCGUCCGUAGGUGGUUAUGUAAGUCUGUGGUUAAAGCGUGGGGCUCAACCCCAUAGAGGCCAUGGAAACUACAAGACUUGAGUGAAGUAGGGGUAGAGGGAAUUCCCAGUGUAGCGGUGAAAUGCGUAGAGAUUGGGAAGAACACCGGUGGCGAAAGCGCUCCACUGGACUUAAACUGACACUGAGGGACGAAAGCUAGGGGAGCGAAAGGGAUUAGAUACCCCUGUAGUCCUAGCCGUAAACGAUGGAUACUAGGUGUUGCCCG